UCAGAAUUCAAACUUUCUAAUUAAUCUCAACGAUUCCUCUCAUCAACAUUCUCCUUCAACAUAUUCCACUGCACGACACAGUUAUGAGGAGCGUGUGUAACGGGUGUAGGAACAUCCUUGUUUACCCUUUGGGAGCAUCUAAUGUUUGCUGUGCAAUUUGCAACACCAUCAAUUCUGUUCCUCCUCCUCGAAUGGAAAUGUCACAACUUCAUUGUGGAGGCUGUAGGACAUUUCUAGUGUACCCGCGUCGUGCUGCAAGUGUGACAUGUCCUUACUGUCACGCUAUUAA